UUUCCGUAGGUGAGCCUGCGGAAGGAUCAUUAAUAAAUUUUUUUUGAAAUAAAAAAAAAAUAAUAAUCAUCCUACCCUUUGUGAAUUUGUUUUGUUGAAUAAUUUUUUAAAAUUAUUUAUUGUCUAUCCAAGUUGGAAAGUUGUAAAAGACUCGGAGACUUGGAGCGGCAUAAAUAAAUUUAAAGACUUUUUUCUAAAAUUAAACUUUUUGUAUUCAUUUGUCUAAAAUAAUUUUUAUAAUAUAUAAAAACAACUUUUGACAAUGGAUCUCUUGGUUCUCGCAACGAUGAAGAACGCAGCAAAAUGCGAUAAGUAAUGUGAAUUGCAGAAUACGUGAAUCAUCGAAUCUUCGAACGCAUAUUGCACUUUUUUAGUUUACUAAAAAAGUAUGUCUGUUUGAGUAUCAGUAAAAUAUUCUCAUAAAAUUUUUUAAUUUUAUGGUUAUGAGUGUUUUACAACGAUAAACAAGUUGUUUCACUUUAAAUUGAAUUUUUUUGAAGAAAUUCUUUAAUUCAAAUUAAAUUUGGAUAAAAUUUUCCCGUAAAAAGGAAUAACUAUACAAGUUUAAUAAGAAUUUAGUGAUUUCUUUUAUGAAAAGGAAAUUUAUUAAAUAACUUGAUCUCAAAUCAGAUAAGAGUACCCGCUGAACUUAAGCAUAUCAAUAAGCGGAGGAAAAGAAACUAACAAGGAUUCCCCUAGUAACGGCGAGUGAAGCGGGAAGAGCUCAAAUUUGAAAUCUUAAAGGGUUUCCCUUUACGAAUUGUAGUUUAAAGAAGUGUUUUCUGUUGAGGUUUUGGUAAAAGUUCUUUGGAAUAGGACAUCAUAGAGGGUGAGAAUCCCGUAUUUGACCUUUACUUUCAACUUUGUGAUACACUUUCAAAGAGUCGGAUUGUUUGGGAAUGCAGUCCAAAAUGGGUGGUAAAUUUCAUCUAAAGCUAAAUAUUGGCGAGAGACCGAUAGCGAACAAGUACCGUGAGGGAAAGAUGAAAAGAACUUUGAAAAGAGAGUUAAACAGUACGUGAAAUUGUCAAAAGGGAAGCGUUUGACACCAGUGUUGUUUUUCUGAAAAUCAAUUAAAGAACUGUUUAUGCUAAGUUGUUUAGACUUUAUCAGCUAACUGUUUAGUUUUGAGCUUUUCUUUAAUGCACUUUUCAGUUAACAAGUCAACAUCAAUUUCUUUUGCUGUAAAAAAGCUUGAGGAAGGUGGCUUGAGAUUCGUCUUAAGUGUUUAUAGCCUCUUGCCUAUGCAGUCGGAGAGAUUGAGGUCUGCAGCGUAGAUCCUUCGGGGCUAAAUGCAUUUGUGCUAAGUUAUAGCAUUUUAUAGACAACUUGUUGACUAUGAUUUGUCUUGUAGCUUACUCGCUUAUGUUAUUUUACCUACGCUUAGGAUGUUG
rnacentral:misc_RNA from 1 species